AAUUAGUAGUUGCUUUCAUGAUUCUUGUUUGGCUUUGUCGGAAGCGUAAUUUUCUCUAAUACCAAUUGUAUAAUUCAAAAUCUAAAAUAAAAUAAAAUAAUAUAAAGAAGAGAGAUUAGAGGAGAAAGAAAUAACUAAACUAAUGCUUUAUUAAUAAAAAAUAAUUAAUUACAUUCUAGGCAACACCAAUGCAGCCAUAUUAAUUAUGACUUAUUCACCAAUACCUAACUAUAUAUAGCUAUCAAAUCAUAACAGAUGAUAAAUCCAAUUUUACUUUGGAUAAUUACGUAUCCUGACCAUAAUCAGAUAAAAGAUCUAAACUUAUCUCUAAUUAUAUUUUAAUUAAGUUUGGAUUAUUAUUCCAACAUCCUCCCUUAAUCCAAACUUUAUCUUCAAGCUGCGAACUCCGUGAAAUGCGCAUUUUGAUUUUGUAAUCUCUGUUGCUGUUGUUGUCGUCGUAUUCGAGUUGUCCAACAUGACGCCUGUCCAAUAAUGUUGUCAUGCACGAAAUAUUUGCCACCUGUAAUUCUGAUUAUCCACAUUAUCCUUAAAGAUCUGCGGGUUCCUGCGAAUAUCUUAAAAAAUAUGUAAUUUUGAAAAAAUUGGAUCGAUAUGAAUUUUGUAAUUUUGUGGUAGCCGAGAAAAAUUUGAUCGAUGCGGAUGUUUAUUCGAUACAUUGAUCUCGUGUGAAUUUUCAUAUACUUUCUGUUUUCGUAAAUUUAAUUUGUGAUUUGCAUCUUCGAUCACAUCAAAAUAAUGGUAAAUUUUCUCUCUGCUUUGUUGCAUUAUUUUUUCGUCAACAGAAAUUUCUUCAAUCAUAUUAUCAUUGCGAACUUUGUCGUCGAUCUGAGUUGCACUAUUUUGAUCAUCAACAUACUUUUCACGAAUAUGAUCUUCUUCAUGAUUUUGAUCAAAUUUUUCUUUUCAAAUUGGGGCUUCUGUAUUUUCGCUGUUUGGUUGAAUUUUUUCUUCUUCUUGAAUUUCAUUCUCUUCCUGCAAAUUUUCUUCUCCAAUUUUUAAUAGAAUUCUCCACGCUUCUCGUGCCGUCUUUAUUGUUGAAAUUUUUCCAACCAACGAUAGAUCCACUGCUUGAAAAUAUAUAAUAGAGCUUCUCUAUCUCUCUUUUUAAAUUCUUUUUUACCAAAUUUUUUUUCAUAAUUUCUAUUCUCCACUACAUCCCAUAAAUCUUGUGAUUCAAAAAAACAUUGAACGAUGAUUGUCCAUCGUUUAAAGUUUGUUCCAUCGAACUUUGGUAAAUUAGGUUGAAUAAACCAAUUAUUUAAAUCCGUGACAAAACUUGAAAAUCCGAAAAAUAAGUUUCAGAUUUGUACCUUUCUGUUUAGAUGACGUCCUUAGUUCAUCGAGAUCUCGCCAAAUUUUCUGUACUUCGGCUUAUUUGCCUAGCCCUCCUGGCUAUCUAGUCAAGUCUUCUUGGAUCUCUUCAGGGGCUCUCCUCGCUCUCUUUUCGUCAAACAUCACAACCACCUGCUGUCGUUUGUUCCGCGAAGGCCAACUUCUUCAAAACGAUUCCUUCGCUUUGGUUUCAGCUGAACGUCACCUUAGUCAAUCUGCUACG
rnacentral:lncRNA from 1 species